GUUGGUGGCCCUGCAUGUGGUGGGGGGUUGGAGCUUCAUGAUCCUUGAGAUCCCUCCCAACCCAGGCCAUUCUAUUUCCAGAGCACUCUAAAAUCCUACUACAUCAUCUCCCACCAUCACAAGAAACGUGUCUGGGCUUCAGCCCUUUGCUGAGCACAACUCAGAACACAGAGGCAGCCUCGGGGACUCAUCCUGCAAAGCUCUGCUGCAAAUCUCAGCUCACCCCCCCAAGAGACCAGCAGCCCCAAGGCCUCCCAGCUCAGCCCACAACAGGUCGAGCUCUGCUGAGUUGUUUAUUUUCAGGCACAAUUUUUCCAGCACGAUUUAAAAUAACCGCUCACAAGCACGUGUCAAAAUCCUUUUCAGGUUAAGUCAGACCUCUUUUUUUUUUUUUUUUUUUUUUUUCUUCCUCCUUUUAAAAGAACUUCAAAGCCAAACGCUGCGCGGCACUUCCAGUAAUACGCUCAUCUCUCAACUUCUUCGAGACCUUUGAAGUCUGUUGAUGAAACUGGAUGUAAAGUCUGAGAUGGAGAGCGGAGCGCGGGCUCUGGGGGGAGGAGAGGGCAGGCAGCAGUGAGCACAGAGCUCACAAGAAUGGAGAAGAAAGAGAAGAAUUCCGAGCCGUGAGAUUCCUCGUGCGCUCUACGCAUGAAUUUAAUUGAUUUAAAGGUCUGAAAAGUUCAGGGCUUUUCUCUAUUUUUUUUUAAUUCAGCCCAGCUAUGUUAACAGAAAGGGGAAAAUAAGAUAGAGAAAGAUGCUCAGCUUUCAUUCUUAAGCCUCCAAUGCAGAGUUUUAGUGGAAAAAUUACAGUCCCCUCUUAUUUUUGUAUUGAAACACAGCUCAGCACUGUGAGACCUUGAGGUGGGGCACUGCUUUGCUGUGGGCUGGCAGCUCCUUGCCCUCUCCAGGCCCUUACUUCCCAAAAACAGCAUGCAGGAGACAACACAGAUGUCAGGCAAGUGACAUUACCAGCACUCACCCACUCUCAGACCAUUUCAAAUCAAGGCAGGGCUGGGACUGCACACGUACCUUUCUAUUCACAAUCAAGAGCUGAACUUCACAUAUGUAAGCAAGCUGUUGAUUUGUUUGGCUUUUAAACAGCCCCUCGCCCAUACCUGCAUCACAGGAAUACAAGAAACAAGCCUACUUCUUUCUCUACCUGCAACACUGCUUUAUUUUUUGGAGUCUUUUCGUCCUGAAAAUUCAUAAAGGGACCCUUGGAAUUUCAGACAUCAAGCUAAAAUAAGGGGAGAAAAAAAUGAAUCCAGAGAAACCCAAGUCUCAGCUCAUUUCAUAGAAUAUUCCACGCCAUAUAAAUCCACAUAAGCACAAAAUACACAUAAAUAGCUGAGCACAGACAUUGCAGCGAUUUGUGUUCCCAAGCCAGCUGCAGGAUCAGCCCUGACCGGGACACUUGUUUAAAACACAACCUGGUGCAUAAGGAUAUUUUUUUUUCCUCUCUAGAAAAGUGCAGUCACAUCCAAGAACCCUUCCACUUGUCAGCUGUAAGCAGACAAUUUAUGGAUCUUCAGAGCAAAAUAUGGAUACCGGAGAGUUCACUGAGGCAAGCCAGCAAACUGCUUUCAUUUCCUGGAUCACCUUCCUGCAACUCCAGCUUGCUCCAUUAAAUCAAGGCAAAUCUCUGCAUGGACACAUUGGUUUAAACCUGACUGCCAGGACAGCUUACAGAGCCUAAUAAACCAGGUUUAAACAGAUUUAAGAAUAUCUGUGCAGAUUUACAGAUGCUGGUGCACAAAUCCACGUCGUUCAGGCAGUGUGACCGUGUCGGGGUGAGGAUCUGACUCCAGAUGAGGAUGCUCACUGCCACGUCCCUUCCCCAAAGCACCUCCCCACACUCACCCAAGGGCACCUGAGGGGAAGGUCCUGCUGCUCCCUGCACCGAGACGUGCUGGAGUUGCUUCCCAGUCAAUUGGGUGAGCACAUGAGAGCCCACCUGCCUUGCAGACGAAAGAGGAGGACAAAUAUUGCAGGAUUAUCAGCACAGAAGUUAUUCAGCCUGCAUUUUCCCUGCAGAGCACGUUGGCUUUCGCCCAAAGCCAAGCAAAGCCUAGUUUCUAACCUACAUUCCCAGCCAGGUAAAUUAGUUCAGGCUUCAAGAACCUCCAAACCAGUUCAGCAGAUUCCCCUUUGCAAAUGACAGGAGUGCAGGUAAAUGGCGUGGUGCUGACACAUCCCUUCCACUCAGACCAGGGCUCAGAAGCCCUUGAGUGCUCUGAGUUUUGUCCCACACCGUAGCCACAGCAUUUCACACGGUCACCUCUACGAGGAGAUGCUGCAGCAGCGGUACAAACCUGUUCUCCAAAGGUCUGAUUCACACGCAAGGCUCUGUGCAUAAACUUUGGAAGUGUUUACAAGCCAGCCUUCAUUUUUACUAUUGCAGCUAUAGGCAAACAAACUAUUCCAGAUCCUGCUGCACGGGGGGGAAGAGGUGAAAGCUUCCUGGCUGCUCUCACACUCGCACAAGCCCUGCAGCAUGCUGCUGCACCUCCAAGCUUCAGCACAGCCAUUCAUCUGAAUCCUCCCCAGUCCACUUUGACUCCAAGGGAUUCCUCCCCCAACCCAUUUCGGCCCCAGUGAACACGCCCCAGCCCACUUUGGGCACAAGGGAUCCCCUCCCAGUCCCAAUGGAUCCCACUUCAGCCCCAACUCACACUUCCCAGCCCAUCUGCUGGGACUUCUGGCUACCCUGCUGCUGCCCCAUCACAGUUCAGCUCCUCCACCUCUUGCCUUUGGUUUAAACUGUAAGUUUUUAGAAGCAGAACCCUCUUUUGCUUCGUUUUUCCAUUAAUCCCACCCCACUGCAAACCAGGACCAGGUCUGCCAGGUGCUGCAGCAAUACAAACAACAUAUAACAAGCACUAAAAGUUGCUUAUUUGCAUCUGCCAACGAUUAAAGUUUGUACGUAGAAGCAGUGGCCACAUGCUGCUGGGUAUAUCACACACUACAUUGGCCUUUCAGGAAUACCUGGUUAGAAUAUUUACCUGUUACUCCAUGCCAUUCCUGCUGAAAAUCCUGUCUAUAAAGGAAAAAUCCAACUUGAAAAUCUAUUUUGUUUUAAUUCCUCCUCUUUGAUCAGAGAGAUAAGAGCCACGCUUCAAAGAAAGACAGUCAACCAGGCAAAACAAGAAUAACUUGUAAUAUAAAUAGUUUCCUUAAACAAAAUACACUGUUUUUCAGCUGGCAAACUAUUUAUGCAGGGGACAGGGUAUUUAUAGCAGCAGCGCUCACACCUUCAUUUCUGACAAUCCCUGCACAAGCUCAUGCAAAUCACCCCCCUCAGAUCAGCAUGCAACGAGGUGCUGAUCUCCAGCAGAUCAGUUCGUUGGAAACAUGCCUGUACAAUUAAGCUUAACCGUCCCGAAGGCAUCAAAUAUUUGUAAGCAGCCCACCCAAGAGUCGUGCCGAGAGACCGCAGGAAAGUCAACAGAGGGCACAUGUUCCCCAACGUGGACUUUUACAAUGUGAGAAUGACAGCGAUACGACUCCAAUAAACCCCGAGUGGAAGUGUAUGACUAAUUUUACGAAUUAGUCACGCAAUUGUGAGCAUGUGUCUUAGCAUUAUCAGAGGGCAAGGCUCGGGGAAAACAUGAGCACGACAAUCAAAGUGAGUAAGAUGCAAAGGCCUUCUGCCUCCCCAGCCCCCUGCUCCCCUCCUGGGAUGCCUGUUUGUUUUGGAAGCGGGCAUUUGUGCCUGCCAUAUUGUUUGGCAACAUCUUCCAAACAGCAGAUACCCAUCUUGAGCAAAUAAGUUGAGAUUUCACAUUUCAUCAUGCCCGUCGGCUGUGAGCCAGGUAGGGUGCUGCCAGAGUUACUACUGUUUAUUAUCUACCAUUGAGAGCAGUUUGUCCCUUGAAGUGGCAACUUAAACUUUAAUCAGUUUCAUGAACACAGAGCUGAAGGGCUUCACCACUUCCUGGGCUGCCCAGCACACGUGUGGCUUUAACUCUCCCUUUUGUGGCUUAACAAUGUUUCCCUGAGCAAAAGUUCUGGGUAUACAGCUACCUAUGCACCACUACACAGUUCCAUACUAAGAUACACUUUUUACUUCCACUUAUACAAGAGCAAGCUGACCUUUAGAGCGUGUAUAUUGUAACGGAGUCAGAAGAGCACAGCCUCUGACCUGCAGUGGGAUGGCACAUCUCUACAGAAGUCAACAGAGCAUCUUUCUUCUUCAUGUAAGUUUAUCAGCCCAGAGAAGGUUGGGUGCCCCAUCCCUGGAGGUGCACAAGGCCACAGAUGAGCACCCAGCUCAUGAUGGAGGUUGGGGCUGGGGGGCUGUAAGGUCCCUUCCAACGCGAGCCAUGCUAUGAUUCUAUCACCUUGCAUGGAAUAUGCCAGGUACAUCACUCUUUCAUUCACCUAUAACAUACAUACACACACACACACAUGCAAAUUUCCUACACGCACACGUAUAUCCUGCCAGCCCACGCUAAACAGGACCAUAUAUUUUUAUUUUUUUUUUUAGCCCCAACCAGCAACACAAAGAGCUGAGCCCUGAGCCGGGCUGUAGAACACGAAGGCACCACCCACGCCAGCCCAAAUUUCCAGUGACAAUCCACUUUGCUGUGUCACUCUUUUAUUUCUUUAUUUAUUUGGGCUGUGCCAUAUUUCAGAAGGCGAAAAUCCAUAUCCCUACCACCGGCUGAUUGAACUUCCAAUGGAAGAACAAGCAGAACCCAACUGGAAUCACCGCCUUUCUGCCUCCAAACCGCGCUCUGCUGGGCGCACGACAACCGCAGGAGCAUCGCAUCGCCGUGACCCACUUCUUACUACCGAAAGGUCAGAGCACACCUCGGAAACAGAGGGAUUUCGGCACAUCUAACAGCCGACGUCGGAAGGAAGGAAGCAGCUUUUCCGCAACAGAUUUUCUACCGCUAAAUGUCACAUGCCAGCGGGCAGUCCCGUCCUCCCCCCCAUCCCCCCCCCUCGUACGCACAGCACCGGCGCUGCGGGGUCACUCAUUGCACGAGUGGGAGAGAGACGGAGCACAGCCAGGACCCAAAACUUGGGGCACGGCCACGUCUCCUCCAACAUCCAGCACCGUUUCUCACCCGCAGAACCCUAAAAGCCAUCGGGAAGCACGCGGCUUCUUUUCCAACCCCUCCAACUGUCAGCGCUCAACUUGCAGCUGGAGGAUUUCAGGCUCGUGUACGUGAACAAAAGCACUGAAACAAGUGAGAAAGCAGCAGAGAAACAAUGCAAAGAAGAGCAGUGACCUGCAAUCAUACACCCAGAACAAAUCCUCUGCUGCUGAACUCACACUGUCUGCGAGGCCUCUGCAGGUGCACUGCGCUGUUGCUGCCACAGUGUACCAUCAUUUCCUGUGUGACAGUCUUUAAGACCACCACAAGGGUAAAUACGCCGUUCCUCAUGACGCCGGACAAGUUAAUGACACAGCUGUUUGCAGAAAGGAGGUUGUAACAUUGAGCCCAGCAGAAGAAAUACUGCCUGUUGUGUGUAGGUAUAAUCAUUUUAGAAGACAUGCUGACACAGAACCUCGUGGAUUUGGCAUCAGUGAUGCCAAGACUCUGUAUUUACUACCAUAGGGAAUACCAGGCUUUGCAAAAAUCUAUUACCAGGCGUAGCACUCAGUGCCAAUGGAUUCCUGCAGCAGGUUGUUGCUCAGUGAGUUUUUAAAAGCUGAUCCUUAAUGCUUGAUAUUAGGCAGCUUCAAAUCAAAAACAAAAUUGCUUUGAAAAAGAUUUACAAAAGUUCACAUUGGUAGAGAUAUUGCUUGACGUUUAAAAGGAAAAAUAAUAACGCUAAGAUUGCGAUUGCAUUUGUUGACGUUUGGAACAUCUUCCUGUGGAGCUUGUAACCAAAACACGGCUGCAUUGUACUCGUGUUUCAGAAACAGAAAGUGGAACUAAAUGCAAUUUAUUAAAAUAGUGUGGCUGAUUAUAAACUCUAAAGGGAAAUCAAGUAACCUCAUUUCUUUAUCUCAUCUGAGCAAAAGGGUAAAACGUGGGGGUGGGGAGAGGCACUUGUUCAGUUUUAGUCCUCUCAAGUGUUACUAAUCACGAAAGUACAAAAUACUUGAAAAUGCCUUUUUAAAAAUCUUCAGAGCCCCACAGAGUGGGCUUCAAUCGGAAGCUGAGGUGGUGUUUCUGGGUGACUGAGGGCUGAAAGGUAAGGGCUAAGCAGCUCCUUCCAGCACAGGCAGGGCACUGGGCUAAUUGGCUAACACUGAAAAUAAAAGAGUAUUUUCUUCUUCCUUCCCCCCCAAAAAUUUAUUUGUUGCUGACUUUAUGGUGUAAAAAUUAAAAUAAAAUACAGAUUGAUUGUUUUGGUGUGUAUGUAUGUGGCACAUUAUCUCCUAUCAGAGUUGGUAUAGCUUCUCCUUUUUUGGCAGUCACACUGGAGAGACCAAGCACUGAACAGGGAAUAAAACAGAGCUGUUCUCUAACCCUACAGAGCCGAUCCCACUGAGAACUCCCUCUAUUUACUCAUCUGCACUUAAAGACUGUCAGUUUUAUUCACAUGUCUACUCAGUCUGCGAAAUGCUUUCCUUAACCUACUUUUAAUGCCUUUGAA